rnacentral:rRNA from 1 species
AACGAACGCUGGCGGCAGGCUUAACACAUGCAAGUCGAACGCCCCGCAAGGGGAGUGGCAGACGGGUGAGUAACGCGUGGGAACGUACCUUUCAGUUCGGAAUAACUCAGGGAAACUUGUGCUAAUACCGGAUACGCCCGCAAGGGGAAAGAUUUAUCGCUGAAAGAUCGGCCCGCGUUGGAUUAGCUAGUUGGUGGGGUAAAGGCCUACCAAGGCGACGAUCCAUAGCUGGUCUGAGAGGAUGAUCAGCCACACUGGGACUGAGACACGGCCCAGACUCCUACGGGAGGCAGCAGUGGGGAAUAUUGGACAAUGGGCGCAAGCCUGAUCCAGCCAUGCCGCGUGUGUGAUGAAGGCCUUAGGGUUGUAAAGCACUUUCACCGAUGAAGAUAAUGACGGUAGUCGGAGAAGAAGCCCCGGCUAACUUCGUGCCAGCAGCCCGCGGUAAAGAGUAGUACA